CAUUUCCACGUAUCAAACAAUUGGAACACCCAAAUUGCAUUGUGAGGCGAUGAUAAAUCUGGGAUUGCAGCCAACACACACACAACACAAGGAGAUCAAACAUAAACAGCGCCGCUAACAAAUAAUUGUUUAUCAUUUGUUUUGUGACGUGCACGACGGGUGUGCGAAUUAUGCACUGGACAGUGGAAAUUGUCUCCCCUUCCCGUCCUUUGCGGCGUAGCCUGAUAAUGACAUUACCCAGCAGCAACGCCGCAUGACGUCACGCAGGAGGGCAGCAGCAGCAGUUUAAUAUACAGCUAAAGAUAUAGGAAUUAUAUUGAAAUUAUAGAUGACAAAAAUCUGAAAUACAAAAAUAGACAGCUUGAUGAACCUGAGUGUCCCACUAGAGUAUUCUAGUAUUUCAAAAUGAAAUUGAAUUCUUGUACUAUUCAGAUUUGAAUAUGGAUAUCGGCGGAAACCCGGCCAAGCUUGAGCACCUUGUGGCGGAGCAGCAGCUAGCGGAACAGCAGCAGAAGCAACCGCAACAGCAGCGCACCAGCAGCAGAGCAGCACUCACCUCGAACCCGGUCAUCAAAUUGAAUAACAAUAUUUUUGCAAGAAGCAAUUCAAUUUGCAUUGUUUGCGCAGUCAAGUGACGGGCCGCAGGUGAAAAUGGUAGCCACAUCUCUCUCUCUCUCUCGCUCUGCCAUUUUGUGUAUUGCUUUCGUUGAAUCUUUAACCCAACCUCGAAGCCGGAGGCAACACUUGCUGCUGCUGCUGAUGUCGUUGUCGAUGUUGUUGUUGUCCGCCCGCCCAGAGAGUGCGCAAUUUGACGGGCAAAUGGUUUUUUUUCCACUGUAAUUACCAAGAGAGUUUUCUCGUUGCCUUUGUCGGUCACUUGGCGUCUACUAAUUAUCACAUUUUUACUCAUUAAAGUCACAUUUGCCUGCCGCACGGCGGCCCAGGAUGCGUCGCUUAGGAUGCGAGAAGACCUCUACUACUACUACAUACCUUUUGGCUAAUUAUAGGCCAGAUCCUUUUGCGUGGGCAAUCAACCUUUCAACCGUUUUGCUACUGCUGCUGCUGUUGAUGAUGAUGAUGGUGAUUGAUUAGCAGAUGCUCAGGCUGCAGCAAAAGCAAUAUCAGGGAUGAGCUUAACCUAAGCAGAGCUGGCUAACUGCUAGAGGAACUGAACUCUCUUUAAGCAUAUGCAGCGCGUGCCAGAUAAAACAAACAAACAAACAAACACACACACAUCGAGGCAGCUGGAGACGAAGUUGCUUGCAGCUAGAAACUGGAGCAGCAGUGAAACAACAAAUCGAAAACUGAUUUGGAGCGGAAGUUCGUUUGCACCUUUCUGCAGUUUCCUGUGUGCCGACCAGCAAACAACAACAGCAACAACAACUCGAGACUAUUCAAUGCACUACAAAAUACACAUACAGAGAAGACUUGCGCUGCUUUGACGUUUUGGCCUUUGACGCCGCGUCUUUUGUCUUGGCCAAGCAAUGGCUUUCAAUUGUAUUGCAAAAGCUAUAUACUACAUAAGAAUGCCUGUUAUAUAGAUUAAGAUUGCCCCUCAAUUGUGCACUGCAAGGAUAUGUGUGCGCAUGCAAAGCACCGUCAAGGAGCAGCUGUCGUCGUCUACUUCGUCUGCUGUGUUUGAUUUGCGAUUCGUGGCUGGCGGAAAUGAAAUGACACGCAAGGCACAAAGGCACACACAGAGAGCGACCCACUCCAGACACACACACACACACACACAUCAUUGUUUGGCACAAGAUUGGCACAAAAAAAAAAUGUGGAAAUCAAACGAAAUAAAAUAAGACUUCAUUCCACUUACGCAUUGUGCCCAAGGGGCGUGCCAGCCCCCGAACUCUAUUACGACUAUGUGUAGUUUUCCGGUCGACUGCCGCACACAAGCGGCAAUCAGGGCCAGCAGCAGCUGCCGCUUGCCGCAACAUGUUGCAACAAGGUGCAAACAUGCAGAGCGCGUGUCUGCAUCCUAGACGCAAAUACGUGAAGCGAACUACGCACUUGAUGUCACCUCAUUACCAACGAAAUUCGGCUGCUCUUGGAUUCAUUUUGCUUUUUGGGGGCACAAGUUAAUGAUGCGCACACCGCGCGCGCUUCCGUCGCGUUUGUUUGUGUCACAAUUAUGCGAGGCACUUGAGCUUGAAGCGCAGUCUGCAGGGCCAGGGCCAUGGUCAGAGAGCCACCUUCAAAAAAUAAAACUGCUGACCAGCAGCAGUUUCAUUGACCUCUGUACUGCCAAAAAAAAAAAAAAACAAGCAACAGAAAUUAGGGCUGUGGAUGUGGAUGCGACGGUGUUUUUAAUGCCGUCAUAAAUGUCAGGUGCGCUGCCCAUUUAAAUUUAUUCAACAUAAUUAGUUGUGGCCAUUAUUAUUAUUACAGCGGAGCGUCAACUAAUUGCAUUUGGAAAUCGUGGCAAUGACUAAUGAGACCCACGAGGACACUGGCCAAACAUUGUUUAAGAUAAAUGUUUGGCAUUUACUAUAUACGCAGGAGGA